AAACGGAUGUUUCUAUACCCCAACUUCUCUUCUCAACUCUUCUCUCAAGUUGUUUAGCUUACACGCGACAAAUCUACGUAGAGUGUUUACAAACUCGAAAUCACGUUUAGAAGUUUGGAAGAAGCUUGAUGUUGUUUCUGUUCCUCCACGAUUCUCGUCACGAUGCCCCUCGUUUUGAACGAUCCGUUAAUAGUGAGUUACCUCGGAAUCAUAGGAAAUAUGUAGUACGGUGUGAUCGAUGCGGUUUUGAAAUUGUCUAUAGUAAGGGUGCGAUACGUGUAUACAACAUUACGAUUAGAAACUAAUCGCUAUGGUUGAUGUAUCACUUGUGUCGUUUUUGAUUAGUGGGACACGACGCAACGAAGAGACGAACAUUGGCGCAGGUUUUAUUGUUCGAAUGAGAAUGGGAAAUUAUGAGUUCGCGUGUUGUCGCGUGGCGAUACGUCGUUAAAGUAGGAUAUCGAAUGCAUGAUCUGGUUUGUAGGCUUUUCGUAACACCGAGUUCCCUCGUCAACCGGGAAAUGGUAAUACAGUUUACGAUUAUCUCUCAGAGAUAUUCGAGGUUUAGUUUAUCGAAUUUCGAUUGAAAGAAUUUCCAGUUUAAGAGUUUUGAAAUUUUUAUAAUUUCGAAUGUUCAAAGUGUUAUUCCAAGAUUUUCAGUUAAAGUCGUUUUUCUAUAAUUGCAGCUGUCUCUACGAUAAUCGGACCAUCUAUUGUCCAAAAAUAUUUAUAAUCUUAUAAAUCAAUUUCCAUUCUUCCAAAUAUAAUUAUUACAAAUAUAAACAUUAUAGAAUUAUUACCUAAAUAUUUUAAAUCCUACAGACGAAUUAUAUCGUCAGCACCGUGGAAUAUACGAGCCGCAUGUGGUUCAUAAUCUAUAAGUUGGUCAUCAUCGUUCUACAUAUUGGACGCUUGAUAACACGCGAAAACCUUCGAAAAGCAAAAGGGGCGGAUAGUUUGGGACGAAUAAUAAGUUUUGGGUGCGACAUAAUCACCAGGGAUAUUAACUUGUGAAGUGAGUUGAAAUUAGUCAGGAACGAACUGGCACGCGCCCCUGGCAGCUCUUUUCGUUAUUUGGAAUGGCUUAGGUUUACGUGUUUCCUCUUGGGUACAUUCCGUCAUGUGGAAAGAGUCCUUUCCUCCCUGUGUUUCUCUAUCUCUCGCUUCGAGUUCCACCGGUUGGACAAAAGCCGUUUGCUCCUAGAAGCAUUCCGUUGAGACGGAGCUAACUAUACUCUCGAUAUUCCGUUGUUUUGCAUAAAAACGCAAGGCAGCUGGGUUCUUCCAUCUCUCGAUCGCUCGACCAUCUUUUGCACGCUUAAUCAUGGCACUAAUCACUUUUUUUUAUACAUACUUUGGUCUAUACUGUUAAUUAAUUAGUAGUAUUAACGAGUCGAUCCUUAAUUAGAAACUUUUGUAAUCGUAGAAUCAGUAACUUUUUAACUGUCAAAUCUACACAAUCAUUUUGUAUAUUUCUUUUGUACGUUUCACGAUUAUUCGCAAUCAUCUAGAUCAUCUGCGGAUAUUAACACGCAUAUCGUACGAUUUACAAGUUAAAGGAAAUCAUAUUUCUUCGCGUAAAUUUUCCGAGAACGUCGCAAUGCGUUGUAAACCGGAGGACGUUAUUGCAUUAUCGUUUAGGAGCCCGUGAUCUCUCAGAAACGGUUAUAUCGGUCCUCUUGUGGGUUUUCGUUUCUCCUCGGGGCAAACGAUAGCGUAUAUUUCUUAGGAGCGAGAUUGUGCUUGGCCGAAAUGGACCUUCGCUGCAAAUGACUAUCCGUAAUACAUUUUCGCAAACGACGAGGAUGGUUUUUAUCGUAUGUAUAAAAAUGGAGAAAGGAACGGUAUUUGCACGGUCUUCCUCCAGAAUUCUUGCGAAAUUUCCGAACCUGAAACUCAGAGGGUCCUUUGAUUAAGUUGCUUGGCUACUCGCUCGGUCAAAACAACAGCGAUAGGAGGUAUGUUGUUACGACUUGACGGACAAAAUACAAUUCACGAAUCCUGGUAAAUGUUUUUAGCCGAGCAGUCGAACGGAUUCGGAUCGGAUCGUUCGUAUCAGCGAUAAAAUUCGUUGCCGCGACAUUGUCUAUCGCGCAGGCCGCAAGUUGCCCGCGUACGUGUUAUCGUCGGUGUCCUUGCUUUACGACAGUCGCUUUUGAGCCAAUAAAUCGUUUUACGAACGUACGGAAUAUCCCCUGAAGCAGGGGAUUUCGAGAUUCCAUUGGAAGGUUGACAAAUUAUGCGGAUUUGCCGAGAGUCAAAGGUGAAAUAGUUUCGACGGCGCGAAAGUCGAGCUUUUUAUUCGUUGGCGUGUUUUCGAGGCCCGUUUCUCUAAGAUUUAUAGCAGUCGUACCGAAGAAGUCAAGAUGCUCGGGCCAGACGACUGUCUUAUAAAUUAGGUGCUUUGAGCGUGAGCUUAAAGACAACGACGGCUUUUCGUCAAGCACAAGAACGGCGUCAACGUCGUCUCGAGGUUGAAUCGGGCGUACGCUUUAUUGCUGAAAAGGCUGCUUCUGCUUUCUUACCGGGAAAAUUUAUGCGAGUCCCGGUUACCGUAAUGCGUCUGACAUCACUUCGCUCGAAGUACACAGGUAGCAACGCUAAUGUUUGUCCUGCAAUUUGUGCGCAAUAAAAUUCCAUAUCUCGA